rnacentral:tRNA from 1 species
GCCUGGGUGGCUCAGUCAGUUGAGCGUCUGACUUCGACUCAGGUCACGAUCUCACGGUUUGUGGGUUCGAGCCCCACGCCAGGCU